AAUAAAAACCUCAUUGUAACCAGAACAACACUGGCUCUGAGACGUGUUGGGCAAAACAUGACCGCUUAGGCAGCAAAUGCGUCAGGGAGUGGCAGACCCCGAUGUGCGGGGAGGCAGUGGGAUAAUGGGAGCCUUGGGAGGCCCUGGUGGCCCUCAGGUGGGAAUAAUUCUGGAGAAAGAGCUGGUGCAGCCAGAAUGGUGGGAGGGCUGCUAGUGGGGUGGAGAGAAUGAUUUAAGGAUUAGAGUUUGAAGAAGUUUGAAAGUAGAAUUUAACACUCUAACAAGCUCGGGUGAUGGAUAAGGAUAUUUUAUCCAUCCCUCCAUCCCUCCAGAUUGUCUCUUUGGAGAAAGGGACAAUCCUUUGUUUUGGAGGAGUUUAUAAAGUGGAAUUUAUUUUACUCGACUCCUUCUUUGAUUGAAAUAUUGUCAACUUAACAAAAUAGUGAAAGAGCAUUGGCCUGGAGUCAGAAGACUUGAAUUCUCAUCCUAGAUCUGCUACUAACUAGCUGUUUGACCCUGAGAAGUCACUUUACCAGAAUUACAGUCUUUCUCUGAGAUGAGGAAAGUGGAGUAGAUAUGUCACUUGAGGUCCCUCCCAAGUGCUAAGAUUCUAUGACUCCACGAAUUCAGACUAUCAGAGGAGAACACUGCAGCGUUCUUCUACAUAGGUUGUAAAUGAGUCCGCUUGGCUUUUGGCCUGUCUCUCUCCUUGUUGUAAGAUGGCUAUAUUUUGAGAUACUUGCCGUUGAGAUACAGUCACUAUGUGGGAGGAAACCCAGGUGGCAUGGAGAGGCCAC
rnacentral:lncRNA from 1 species